rnacentral:lncRNA from 1 species
AUUAUAUAUUUAUAGAUUAUCGUUGAUCAUCUCAACGAGAUUGAUUUUCUCGCUUGAGCUGGUACAGCGAAAGUGAGAAAAGCAAUCGAGUUGAGAUGACCAAUGAUAAUCUGUUUAUCGCUAUUUUACCUAGGACGACGUUGUCAAUUUCAUGUCAAUUUCGUUAGCAACGCCACGUGGCCUCCUUAGUUUCUAGCGAUAAUUUUUCCAUCUCAAGCGAGAAGCAUGAUAUGAAAAUUAUCACAAAAAAAGAUCAAAAGAAAAAUGCACAAAAUAGCGAUAAAGUAUCCUAUCAUG